GAGGCACUCGCGUCGUACGCCUCCAUCGACUGCGCCGAUUCCAGUUGCGGGAAGUGUCGUAGACCCAGGUUUCUGUCACGCAUAUAAAAUUGACAAGUUUUACACGCAGUGCAGUGUUUAAAAAAAUUAAUUCUUCAAUAUUAUAUCCCGCAAUUUCUAUCGUCGGGAAUAAACCACGGUCUUUCAAUCGUGUUCGCCUGGCCACGAUUUACGCAGUAAAGCCGCGACAACCUGUAAGGCGACUCGGUGCAACCUGGACGACCUGCCCGAGCGUGACUCAGGUGAAUACUCGACGGGGUUGUCGGCAAUGCGACGCGCUCGUCUGAGAUGUAUCAAUGGCGUGCAUUACUUGGGAAUUUCUAAAGAGCAGUAGUUGGAAACCGUUGAAUUCAUUGGAAUGUGUUGACUGGAAAAAGUGGACAAACAUAAAUCUUCUGUACAUUCUACGAAUUUACAUUGUUUUGUGGCGAUAAAAGAAGCGCUCGUCGUUUGGAUACUCUAUCGCCGGUAUCAGAGUCCCGAUAUUUCCCGUUCUACCGAGGUAUAUAUUAUGAAUGGCGUGCUCGAAAGCUGGAGGGAAUUCAAAGAGGCUUAUGAGCGGUUUUGAUGGAAAAAGCAGCGGGAUAAGCGAGGAUUUUCUUGCAGGAUUGGACACGGAGGUGAAUUAGACGCGUCCGUUGAAAUCCGGGCGGUUCACAAAAGAGCGCGGGCGUCCGAGACCAUUCAGUGAUUGGUCAUGCUCACGCAGGGUAGAACACAAGGGGCGAGAAUAGCAAUUCAGAGAUUAGACACAGUUUCAGCCGAAUUUGGGGCGUCGACCCGAUGGGGAGACCAGACGAUGUGGUUUUCGGGAGCACGAAGAAUUCCGCGCCCCGGAUUCCCACGAUGCCGCGGAACAAAGGUCUAUAAAUCAGGAAACGUUUGAAAAAUCACGCCCGAUCCGUCUCCGUGGAAUGUUAUUAACAACGUUAUUAAUUUAAUCGCGCCGAUCGGCCGAUACCGCGCGGAAGUUGUUGAUGAAAAGAUCGCGAGAUGAUACGCUGUAAUGGACGUAUAAUCGAGGACGGGAUGUAAAAGAAGUAAAUAUACACAAGGAUAUCUCGACGGAGAGGAAACUUGCAGUCUCGGAUAGACGACGAUCGAGCAUCUCUUCCAGACAGGGGCAGGGCUGCGUGUUCAAUUAAAGGCGCAACAGUGUGUGACACGGACAACGAGGGUAAACUAUAGACUUUGCGAAAUCGUAACUCAACGCCGCUCGUAUCAACAGUUUGUGCAACGUGAGAAGCGCGGAGCGAAUCGGCGGGCGCCGUGUCCGGGCGCUCGCAAGGUGUAAUGUUAAGCCGAUGUACCAUAAUCGUCCUGGACGCUCGGGUGUCUUUCCGUUCCGAGGCCAGCCCGUGGCGAAGCCGGGCUCUCUCGCUACCCACGGGAACAGUGAUGUAGCCGAAGCGCGCGAAGCCCUUAGCGCGAAGCUCAUAGACGAGGCACUUCAACUUUCGUUAACGUCAAGUGCCACGACCACACGGUAAAUAACGUCAAAUAAAUCCGAUAGACGUGACCCAAGCGUGACUCUUUAAUCUAACGGUGCACAGGAAGAGCAAAAAAAAAAAAGGUUCAUCAGUGAUGUAAAUGAUUCGUCGAGUAAUUUUUAAAUUCUAAUUUAAGAAUUUUUCUCUCAGCAAUUUCCGAUCCUUGAUCUCCGCCGUUUUUUCUCUCUGACGCAACGAGAAAAUGAGUGAUGACGGCUCUCCGUAUUCCUGUGAACUAAAUAAUAUUGUAGAAGACAGUAGCUAACUACGUCCCUGCCCGCGGAACUGGUAUACACACGUACACGCGCGUGUUUAUGUAGUAUAUUGCCGUUUAUCUAAGCCCACGCGAUCGCCCCGGCGAUAUUAGCCGGUGUAUAAAAUGCAUUUGUGAUCACGGCGGGAAUGUAAACGGCGCGCUCCGGCAUACGCCGUCCACCCCUCCUGCGUCGUGGAUUGGGCACGAAUUAUCAACGAUAAAGUAUCUCGCUGGCUCGCGCUGAACAAGACGUGCCCGGGCAAUGUAGAGUGCAAUAAGCGCCGCUGCGUCUAUUACGGAAUGAGCCGAGAUUGCCGAUUCUGUACGGCAGCAUCUCACAGUCAUGCACGCGCGUAGUUAUAAUGAGCUUGGUAAAGUGAGAGAGAUAUAUAUGUAUCUAAGGUGCAUGUGCAUAACGAUGCACUUCGCUCGACUACUCGAGUACCCGCGCUUGCAUAAUCCCAACGACACGGGAGCCGGUGGAGUACUAGCUGCCGAAUCGUAAAAUGCGAUCAUAAUGCGCGGAGGUGAUUAAAUGUUAGAUUUCAUAACGUUCAGAGCGAUGAUUUACUCUCGCCGUUAACAUGCACAAAAAUAAGAGCGUUGGUUGAAAGAACUGGCAUGUUGAAGGAAACUGAUAAGAAUGCAAAAUUUAUCCUCGAGAAUCAACGAUUCGACUUUUAUUCCACGAAAUCUCGAGAUGUUAGAUUAGUGUUUGAUAAAAAAAAUUAAAUUUUUACAAUCUUUCGCAAGAUAAAAUUUUUUUUCUAAUUAAAAAUUUAAAUUUAUGCUGAAAGUAUGUAUUUUAUAAAUUGUGAACUUGCUUUGUUUAUUGUACAUCUGUUUAUUGCACAGCUUAGCAUAUCUAUCCAAGUUUCUUAAAACGAUGACAGAGUAGAUAAGACGCUAAUUUGCGAUGCAGAUCACGGUGCUAGAGUGCAGGGAAGUACAAGAGGAGAGACAAAGAGCAAAAUUUGCGUAGAGAAUCUUAAAUGCGCGAAGGCGGAUUAGAGUGGUCGAUACGGGUAGAUCGUUAAUUGUAUUUACUAGAUAAAACAGCGGGCCGAGAGAGCGUUCGAGAGUCGCGUCGAGCGAUUCCAGAGAGGGAAUCGGCCCUAGAUUUUCACGAAGAGCGCCAAGAUGAGGACUCGAGCCCUCUUAACGAAGCUGGAAGCUAAGGACGGUGUACACACACUCGAGGUGCACAUACGCAGAAGAAAACGAGAGCCUGCCCACGAGGCCGAGAGAGCGGCGAGAGGAAGGACAGGGGGAGAGAAAGAGAGAGAGAGAGAAAAGACGGCCGUAGGGCGCAGAAGAGGCAUCGCAAACGGCGAAAGAGAGAAAGAAGCGAGACGCGAGAAAGAAGAAGGCCGGAGAAAAGCAGAGAAGACGGGAGAUUCGAAGCUGGACGCGGGGAGAGCACGGGGAACGCGAGUACAGUGAGACCGGUUGACGAUUGUCAAUACGGCCUGCAAGAGGAUACGACUUGCUAGAAGACAAUUCAGUGGAACUAAGGGAAAAAAAAAGCCAGUCAACUUCGUAAACACGGAGUGUUUAACAAAAAAAUACUCUGCCUUUCAACACGAUUGAAAUUAACACUGGCAGGUUUUACACAAUAAGUGGCGUUACGGAGUAUUUGAUAAAAAAUAUUUGAGGACGUGACGCUUUGCGGAAUAUUUGAUAAAACCCACCCGAUCAAAUGAGCGAAAAUGAUCAAGCUGAGCGGAGAGUUCUGUAAAGGAUUACAGCGACGCCGAAGAGUAAUUACGUGCCAUCAAGAAGGAGAGAGAGCUCUUUUUAACAAGAACGUAAAAGGAACACAAAAGAAACGCACGUCGGACAUUGUAAUCGUUGAUUACACUCACUGUACAUGCAGCUUUCUUGAUCGACAAGAAGAUGUAUAAAAUCCACUUAGAAAUGUGGCUUCAGAAACGAUUGCGGAAGAAAGUCGGAAUUGUCUCCGCGCAGGAUCGCAUAACCGUCGGCGGGAAAUCUUUUUUUGCGUGCUGUCGAGUAAUCAUCCAGGAUAAUCGCAACUGGUCCGAUCUAAGGAUCUAUGAAUCGAUAACGGGAAAGUACACGACGAAUUAUCAAUUAUACUAAACGCUGAGAUGACCCUCUUGCCGUUUAAUUGAAUAAUUACUCACCGGAACGGAACGAGCUGCGGUCGUUAAGUGUAAGAAAUAAUUGCGCUCCAGCUCGGCUCACGGCAGACUGACUCCGUAACGUUCUCGCUGGCGUCUUCGACCGCAAAUACCGAUAACAAUAUGGCCACAAUUUUCUUCGGGGAACAAACGACGCACCUCAAUUAGGGAUCCGGCAAGUCUGUUUGCCUGGCGUCGGCACGCAGCCCAG